rnacentral:tRNA from 1 species
AUAUCCGAGUUAGCGGUAACGGCCCGGUCUCCAAAACCGACGCCCGCGGGUUCGACUCCUGCCGGAUAUG